ensembl:lncRNA
GCAUUUACUGCUGCUGCUGCUAAGCUGCUUCAGUAGUAUCUGACUCUGUGCGACCCCUGAGACUGCAGCCCACCAGGCUCCCCUGUCCCUGGGAUUCUCCAGGCAAGAACACUGGAGUGGGUUGCCAUUUCCUUCUCCAAUGCAUGAAAGUGAAAAGUGAAAGUGAAGUCGCUCAGUCGUGUCCGACUCUUUGUGACCCCAUGGACUGCAGCCUACUAGGCUCCUCCUUCCAUGGAAUUUUCCAGGCAAGAGUAUUGGAGUUGGUUGCCACUGCCUUCUCCCAUUAGACAUCUGAAUGACAGUAAAUCAAAGGACACAAAUUUUAAAACGGUUGGAGUCAGAAUAUUUCCAAUAUCUGCCAAUAGAGGCUAGAGAGACAGCACUUAACUCAUCAAAAGGUGGAAGAAACAGACAAACCAAUAGAAUAAUCAAAGAACUACAUUCAAAAAGGUGUCAAAGCUCCAUGAUGGAUGAACAAUGCAAGAAGGUAAAUCUUGAAAAAAGGAAAUUUAUGAGGAACCCCUUCCCCCAUUUCCCAGGCUUCUGUCUGAAGGAGUUCUCCUAUCCACCACAUGGCAUUGCCUUUCUGGGAUAAACCCCAAUGGGUUAUGAAGCUAUUGCACCCAUGCUAAGUUGCUUCAGUUGUGUCCGACUCUGCGACCCUACAGAUAGCAGCCUGCCAGUCUCC